rnacentral:rRNA from 1 species
AUAUGCUAGAAUUGCAUGAAUUCAGUCGAAUCAUCUAAUCUUUGAUAUCGCACCUUGCGCCUCUCUUGGUAUUCCAGUAGGGGCACACACCGUUUGAGUGUCUCUGAAAACCUCACAUCCUCCUUGGUGUUCUUUCUGGAGUACUGACACGGAGGCUCUGGACUCUGGAGGCACUUUGCUGGUGUCUCUCACCACCUCCUCUUAAAUGAAUUACCUGUGUGGUCCUCUUUGCCGAUCCUCGCACACGUGAUAAGAUGCUUCCGUGUCUCGGUUUCUGGCUCUGUUGCUUUUGGGACCCGCUUCUAACCGUCUGGACCUUGUGUCGAGACAAUGUUCGAGAUUGUCUCCCUUCUCGGGAAACCACCUCGACCCCACGAACCCUUGGCCUCAAAUCGGGUGAGACUACCCGCUGAACUUAAGCAUAUCAA